CCCUCCCUCUGGCGGCAUGCCUAACACAUGCAAGUCGAACGAGACCUUCGGGUCUAGUGGCGCACGGGUGCGUAACGCGUGGGAACCUGCCCUUAGGUUCGGAAUAACUCCCCGAAAGGGGUGCUAAUACCGGAUAAUGUCUUCGGACCAAAGAUUUAUCGCCUUUGGAUGGGCCCGCGUUGGAUUAGCUAGUUGGUAGGGUAAAAGCCUACCAAGGCGACGAUCCAUAGCUGGUCUGAGAGGAUGAUCAGCCACACUGGGACUGAGACACGGCCCAGACUCCUACGGGAGGCAGCAGUGGGGAAUAUUGGACAAUGGGCGAAAGCCUGAUCCAGCCAGGCCGCGUGAGUGAUGAAGGCCUUAGGGUUGUAAAGCUCUUUUACCCGGGAUGAUAAUGACAGUACCGGGAGAAUAAGCUCCGGCUAACUCCGUG
rnacentral:rRNA from 1 species